ACGGGUGAGUAACGCGUAAAGACUUGCCUUGCAGUCUGGGACAACGUCUGGAAACGGACGCUAAUACCGGAUAUUAUUGCAUGAUGAAAGCUAUAUGCGCUGCGAGAGAGCUUUGCGUCCCAUUAGUUAGUUGGUGAGGUAACGGCUCACCAAGACGAUGAUGGGUAGCCGGCCUGAGAGGGUGAACGGCCACAAGGGGACUGAGACACGGCCCUUACUCCUACGGGAGGCAGCAGUGGGGAAUAUUGGACAAUGGACCAAAGUCUGAUCCAGCAAUUCUGUGUGCACGAUGAAGUUUUUCGGAAUGUAAAGUGCUUUCAGUUGGGAAGAAGAAAGUGACGGUACCAACAGAAGAAGCGACGGCUAAAUACGUGCCAGCAGCCGCGGUAAUACGUAUGUCGCAAGCGUUAUCCGGAUUUAUUGGGCGUAAAGCGUGUCUAGGCGGUUUGGUAAGUCUGAUGUGAAAAUGCGGGGCUCAACUCCGUAUUGCGUUGGAAACUGCCAAACUAGGGUACUGGAGAGGUAGGCGGAACUACAAGUGUAGAGGUGAAAUUCGUAGAUAUUUGUAGGAAUGCCGAUGGGGAAG
rnacentral:rRNA from 1 species